CAUAUCAAAAUUUUUGUUACUUGCAUUCCAGCGGUGUUUAAGAUGUGUCGUCUUACAGGGCAUUGGAUUGUUUAAAUUGUAACUAUUUGAAGAGGGCUUAGUUGCACGAUUCUUCUGAGUUCUAACCAGGUUGGAUUGGCUAAAAUUCUGGAUUUAUAUUAUGAAGAUCUGUACACCCUCCCUAACAAACAGCUCUCAUCUGGGUUGGUUUCAGAAAUUUCAAAAUUAUCAAAGAGUAAGAGGAGCUCUUCAUCGUUACGAAUGCUAUCUAUUACAUUUGCUGGUGGAUGUUUUCUGGUAGCCAUUGGUAUUCUUGCUCAACUUUGUAAGCCUCACCUCUUCAAGGCUAGAAAAUCUCCAGCCUUGAGUUUCUUUUCUCUAAGCCUAUAUAUUCCCAAGAAGACUACCUGUUUCUAACAUUUUGAUGCACCUAAUGA